CCGGCAGCUGCCGCUGCAGCUCCGGCGCCCGGCACAGCCUCCUGCCCACGGCCCGCCGCCAUCUUGGAUUGCAGCCUCCUGCUGGUUCCUGCGCAAAGCAGCCCGGCUGAGCUGCCACUGCAGCCGUUUUCCAGGAGGAACUCUGGUCUGAAGGGCCAGGUGGGAGGCUCUGCAGGUGGCCCCCUGUGAAGGAGUGAAACCAAACGAAGCUCAAAGGAAAAAAGGUACUAUGCUAAGUGCUUGAUGUGUAUUACUUCAGAGAAUCCAUCCACAGGACAUCUGUACAGGAACUGUAAGUGAGCAGAUUCUGGGACAGCUCUAAGAUGUGUGGUCUCAUUAACUCAGAAUAGAAGCCUCUGUUGAAGGGCCGGCAAAACUGCAGCAGGAGCCUCGCCAGAAGACUACUUCCUAAAAUUCGUUCAGAAAAGCGCCUUUCAAGAGGCACACAGACAAUUUGAAAGGCAAAAUUAUAAAUGGCUAAUGCAAUGAGGAAAAUGGAAAGCUCCAUUAAUAUGCAAAGGAUGAAAAUUAAAUGCCACUCAGAUGCCUUUUUGUCUUAUGACAAUAACAAGAUUUGGAAAAAACCAUGCUUAAGGGUAAGGUGAUAGGAAAUCUCAUGGAUUGCCUGUGAGAGUAAAAAAAUUUUUUUUUUUUUUCAAAAAACAGUUGAAGAAUAUGGAUCGAAAGCCUUCACAACUGAUUCCAAUGGCCGUAUCUUUUGAAUCCAUAAUUGCAGUGCUAGGAUGUCAUUAUUUAAAAAGUUCAGAAAAGUGGAUAAAAGCAUUUUCACACAAAGAAAUUUAUUAGAGUGCUCUUUAUGACCGAAAAAAAAAUAGAAACACCUGAAUGUCUAGCAAUGAGGAUUUCAAAUAUGAAAGAUAUAGCUGAUAUUACACAUUUUGUAGUCAUUUAAAAUGUUUACAAAGAAGUUUUAAUUUGGUGGGGGAAAUAAGUGAUGUGGUAUUAUUUCACUAUAUUGAAAUCUGUAUACGUAUAGGAAAAGAGAUGGAAAAGUGUCAAAACUUAAAGUGGUUAUCUCUAA